GGUAUGGUAGCAAUACCAGAGACCGGCGCACGGGUGCGUAACGCGUAUGCAAUCUACCUUUUACAGAGGGAUAGCCCAGAGAAAUUUGGAUUAAUACCUCAUAGUAUUACGACCCGGCAUCGGGAUGUAAUUAAAGUCACAACGGUAAAAGAUGAGCAUGCGUCCCAUUAGCUAGAUGGUAAGGUAACGGCUUACCAUGGCAACGAUGGGUAGGGGUCCUGAGAGGGAGAUCCCCCACACUGGUACUGAGACACGGACCAGACUCCUACGGGAGGCAGCAGUGAGGAAUAUUGGACAAUGGGCGCAAGCCUGAUCCAGCCAUGCCGCGUGCAGGAUGACGGUCCUAUGGAUUGUAAACUGCUUUUGCACAGGAAGAAACAACGCUACGUGUAGCGUCUUGACGGUACUGUGAGAAUAAGGAUCGGCUAACUCCGUGCCAGCAGCCGCGGUAAUACGGAGGAUCCAAGCGUUAUCCGGAAUCAUUGGGUUUAAAGGGUCCGUAGGCGGUUUGGUAAGUCAGUGGUGAAAGCCCAUCGCUCAACGGUGGAACGGCCAUUGAUACUGCCAGACUUGAAUUAUUAGGAAGUAACUAGAAUAUGUAGUGUAGCGGUGAAAUGCUUAGAGAUUACAUGGAAUACCAAUUGCGAAGGCAGGUUACUACUAAUGGAUUGACGCUGAUGGACGAAAGCGUGGGUAGCGAACAGGAUUAGAUACCCUGGUAGUCCACGCCGUAAACGAUGGAUACUAGCUGUUUGGGCGCAGUUCAGUGGCUAAGCGAAAGUGAUAAGU
rnacentral:rRNA from 1 species